AGUUAAACAGUACGUGAAAUUGUUGAAAGGGAAACGAUUGAAGUCAGUCAUACUAACGGGAAAUCAACCUCUUGAUUUUGGUCUCGUGGGUUUCGAAGAGUUUAAAAGCCUUCGGAUUUUCGAGAUUGGGCUCUUCUGGUGUACUUUCUCGUACGGUUAGUCAACAUCGGUUUUGAAUGUCAUAAAAUGACUGAAGGAAUGUGGCUUCGAUCUCGUAUUGAAGUGUUAUAACCUUUGGUAGAUGUGAUGUUUGAGACCGAGGAUUGCAACGGAUACCCUUCUGGGCUAUUCGUCUGAUCUCUGAAACGUUGCCUUGAUGUCGAAAGCUUGCUUAUGAUGUUAGGGUAUUACGGUCAAAAGGUUAGAACGGAUUAAAUUCGUUAAGGAUGUUGACGUAAUGACUUUAAA
rnacentral:misc_RNA from 1 species